GGCGGUUCUCAGGUGACACACCCGGGAUCGGGCUCCCUCCUCUCUGUUUUUGGGGUGUGUUACCUGAGAACCACC
rfam:Myotis brandtii contig148294, whole genome shotgun sequence.